rnacentral:misc_RNA from 1 species
UCACGGUUUGCACCGGCAGUCUGGUUAGAGUCCCCACCAUUAUGUGCUGGUAACUAACCACAGGGGUUGCGCUCGUUAUAGGACUUAACCUGACACCUCACGGCACGAGCUGACGACAACCAUGCAGCACCUUGUGAAUUGUCCGAAGAAAUAACUGUUUCCAAUUACGUCAAUCCACAUUUAAGCCUUGGUAAGGUUCCUCGCGUAUCAUCGAAUUAAACCACAUGCUCCACCGCUUGUGCGGGCCCCCGUCAAUUCCUUUGAGUUUCAUUCUUGCGAACGUACUCCCCAGGUGGGAUACUUAUCACUUUCGCUUAACCACUGAGAUCGAAAUCCCAACAGCUAGUAUCCAUCGUUUACGGCGUGGACUAC